AGAGUUUGAUCCUGGCUCAGAACGAACGCUGGCGGCGUGCUUAACACAUGCAAGUCGAACGCGAAAGGGACUUCGGUCCUGAGUAGAGUGGCGCACGGGUGAGUAACGCGUAAGUGAUCUACCCCUGUAUUUGGGAUAACUAUGGGAAACUGUAGCUAAUACCGGAUACGUUCAUGUUCUUGCGAGUAUAUGAAGAAAGAUGGCCUCUGAUUCAAGCUAUUGUACAGGGAGGAGCUUGCGUACCAUUAGCUAGUUGGUAGGGUAAUGGCCUACCAAGGCAACGAUGGUUAGCGGGUCUGAGAGGAUGAUCCGCCACACUGGAACUGAAACACGGACCAGACUCCUACGGGAGGCAGCAGUGAGGAAUAUUGCGCAAUGGGGGCAACCCUGACGCAGCGACGCCGCGUGGAUGAUGAAGGCCUUCGGGUCGUAAAAUCCUGUCAGAUGGGAAGAAGUGCAUGGUGGUUAAUACCCAUCAUGUUUGACGGUACCCCUAAAGGAAGCACCGGCUAACUCCGUGCCAGCAGCCGCGGUAAUACGGGGGGUGCAAGCGUUGUUCGGAAUUAUUGGGCGUAAAGCGCGUGUAGGCGGUCUGAUUAGUCUGAUGUGAAAGCCCUGGGCUCAACCCAGGAAGUGCAUUGGAUACUGUCAGACUUGAAUACGGGAGAGGGUAGUGGAAUUCCUAGUGUAGGAGUGAAAUCCGUAGAUAUUAGGAGGAACACCGGUGGCGAAGGCGGCUACCCGGACCGAUAUUGACGCUGAGACGCGAAAGCGUGGGUAGCAAACAGGAUUAGAUACCCUGGUAGUCC
rnacentral:rRNA from 1 species